CCUACGGGAGGCAGCAGUAGGGAAUAUUGCUCAAUGGGGGAAACACUGAAGCAGCAACGCCGCGUUGAGGAUGAAGGUUUUCGGAUUUUAAACUCCUUUUGUUAGAGAAGAUAAUGACGGUAUCUAACGAAUAAGCACCGUCUAACUCCGUGCCAGCAGCCGCGGUAAUACGGAGGGUGCAAGCGUUACUCGGAAUCACUGGGCGUAAAGAGCGCGUAGGCGGGAUAGCAAGUCAGAUGUGAAAUCCUAUGGCUUAACCAUAGAACUGCAUUUGAAACUGUUAUUCUAGAGUAUGGGAGAGGUAGGUGGAAUGCUUGGUGUAGGGGUAAAAUCCGUAGAGAUCAAGAGGAAUACUCAUUGCGAAGGCGACCUGCUAGAACAUCACUGACGCUGAUGCGCGAAAGCGUGGGGAGCAAACAGGAUUAGAUACCCCGGUAGUC
rnacentral:rRNA from 1 species